CUGAUAUCCUUCUGAGCUGUGGUAGAGAAAGGGGAAGCAGUGCCCUCAUGGCUCCUGGAUUUACAGUUCCUGAGGAAGAACUGACAAAUAGAGGAAGACUUCCCUAAUAUCAAAUGAAGCAGAACCUUCUGGGCAGAAGGAAAACAGGUGAUGUUGCAAUGACAGGGCUCACCUUUCCACCUCGUGUUUGAUGAGGGUUUGAGAAAAGAGCCACAUUCUUUCCAAAAGUCAGGUCAGAAGCCUUUCCACACUUUGGUUUCCCAAUUCAGCACCCGUAAUGUCAAAUAAAACGAAGGCCCUUGCCCCAAGUGAAGUCAUCAGCAAAUAUCUCUUUGCUUUCCGGGGGACUGUGUUCUCUCACAACAUCUUUUGGAAUUAUCACUUCAUACUGAAACAAGGGUUUGAUCUUUUCAUGAGAUGUAUGGUGAUGAAAUUAAGGCCAGGGGCUCUGGGGACAGAAGAGAAGGCUGGCGCCACUCGUAUGCCCUGGAGAAACAGUGAGAUGAAGAGCACAGCCUCUAGAGCCAGAGUGUCUGGAUCUAAAAUUGGCUCUGCCAACAAGCAUAAUUGAAAAUUAAGAAUGCCAUGUAAAGCAAGGUGAAAAAGGCAGGGGUGUACACAUCAAUCCCAGAUCCAGGGAGCCAACAUCUUUAAGUAGACUUCUUCAGAUGGCCUGUGGGGUACCACAGAGCUUACAGAACAACUUAAGAUCACUCCAAACCAGGUAACUUCACAAGUUGUUAGAAACCAUCCUUCAAAGAUCUGCCUCUUUCCUUCUGCGUGGCAGCUGGAGACUCCUGCUUGGUCCUAAUCAGUGCAGGAUCAACAACAGAAAUCCGCAAAUAGUCAAAGACAUCCCUGCCACGCAGCACAUAGAUUUAUAACUCUGGUCAAAGGUUUCGACAAAUACAGAUUUCUUCAAUCCGAAGUCCAUCUGUGUGUGUUCCCAGAAAUAAAGAACAGUGCAUGUCUAUCUCCCUCUCUCUAAUCCGUAGAGGUAGCAAGGGCAGGAGAAUUGAAUUCCCAAAAGGACUUCUUAUAGCUCUGGUGACAAUUACCAUCUCAAACAGGCUGGUGCUACCUUGGGGACACAUGUGGACUUUAUUUUUUGCUCUCUUUUUUCAAACUGAGGUAGUGUCAGCACUGACACAGACAGUCCAGAGAAAAGAAACUGUGUCUGCUGUCAUGUUUAUUUAGUUGGUAUAAGUGGAAAGAUCAUAACCUGAAGUUUUGAUGAAAACACACUUCUUGCUCAGAUAAUCCAUUAUGUCAUUGAUUAGUUCUGCUAAGAGAAAGCGAAUGGGUUAAAGAAACAAAAAAGACAACAAGAUGUGGGAUUAGGUCUGGGGAUGUGGAGCAUGUAGGGAACAUCAUAAAAUUUCUGAUUUCAUAUCUGGGACCUGGGUACAUGAUCUGAGACAUAAAUUUGAAUGUUCAACAGCCAAAUUAUCCUGCCCCCUAGACAUAACCUCCCAUGAUGCAAAGCAACAGGGAAGGUGCAUGAAUUCUUUCAGGCUCUAUGAAUGUCCCUGAGCAAUCUGUUUCUUUAGCAUCUUACAUAAACAUGGCUGGAAUGACAAAAGCUCACCAGGGUGCCUAUGGGGAAGGGGUGCAGUUCCAAUGCCUGAAGUCUCUGUGACAACACCAAGGGAAAAACAUUGGAAUGGAAGCCAAUAUAAUGAUAUUGAACCCGCUCAAGUGAGCAGUUUUGUGGAAGGCAUCCAUUUUGGAGCUGAGCUCAAAUACUACUGGAGCUCAGUAUUGUAGAACAGCCUGAUUCACCACCAGGUCUGCAGUAGAGUCCAGGUAUGGCAUUACCCUUUGAUUUACCUAAUCUGGGAAGAAGCCAAUUGGCCUAUGGAACACCUGAAAGUAAAACACUGCCCACCAGAGAUGAGAAACUUUGCCUGCCUAUAAACUCUGAUAAGAUGCCCUUGAUAACUGAAAACCACAGGAAUGCCAACAAUAAGUCUCAGUUAUUGAGAAGUUUGCUGUCCAGUGGGAAAGGCAGGUAAUAACAAUCCUCAAAAAUAAUACAUUAAGUGCUAUACUAAGGGUAUAUCCAGGGUGCUGUCAGAAUGCAGAAGAGGCAGUACCUAAUCCAGCCUGACAGUGAGGGUCAGGGAAGGCUGCCACUAUAUCUAGAUUUAAGAAAUUCAGAGCACAGUUGACAUAGCUUGUCUUAAGGAUGACACUUGGCCUUCUAAAUAAAUCAAACUUUUCCCAGAACCAUUUCAAAGGACUUAGCUCUGUGUAUCCAUCUGCAUUCCCAGUGAAUGGAAGAAAGGUCAGAAAUGAGUUAAUGCUCAUACACUGGCCUGUGCCACUGUUUUAAAUCUAUUGUCACUGCUUUGUCUGCUGAAUUAGUAUUCCUCCCUACCUGAUUUUCUUUAACAAGCCAGUUCUUUGUGUCUUCCAAUAUCCUUCUCUUCAUAUAAUUUCAAAACAGAUCUCCGUCUAACCACUUAAAUUGUUUAGCUUCAUGUGACAUGUCUUCUGGAGGCUAACAGCAUAAUUGCUUUAGAUAAUUUUUUUUUGUUUACAUUAUGUAAGAUUUUACUUCACUUGACAUUUGCUAUUUUCCCUUCCCUACCUUCUGUAUACUUCAAGGAAUUCUGAACUGUCAGUGCUCACACAGCAUAAGCCUGGCACUUAUUUUCAGUAUGAUAUGUCACUUCAUAACAAAAAACCUAGAAACAUAUUCAUUUCCUGUAAAAUUAUCUGAGUUGAGUGAGUUUAAAGUUGGAGAAUGGGCUCUACCUGGGGCUACAGAGAGAGCUCAAGCCCCUAAAAGUGAAUGUCAUCCUCUCAUGCCCUGAUGAAGCUGUUUAUUUUCCAUGACGUAGCACUUUCCAUCCAGGACAAGGUCUGACCAGCCUGGCUCACGACAAAAUUAGACUGGAUAUUGGCAUCCUCUUAUCUUUUUGUCUUUUCUCAUUGGUAUUGUUCACGUGUCCAUUAUUCCUCUGGUCUGGAGAGGCUGAAAGAACUCAGGAAUUACAAGGAUGGACCUUUCAGUUGCAGGCUGUGGACCUAUAGUAGGUCCUUUAGAGUGGGAUGAUUUGUUGUUGAGUAAGGGCCUUGCUCAAGCAUUGUCAGCCCAAGCUUGGACACAAUGCAGGGUCACUUCGGUUCUCCUGGAAAUGAGAAUAGUGGUAGCCAGUGGAGAGACUAUUUUUGGAAUAACAUUUCCAAAGGCCAUUUCCACUUCAAAAAUAAAUAUUAUGCACGAACUGGUAUGAUUAUGUAGAUUUUCAUGUUGGAUCUGUUAAUAUGAUAGAUUAUACUGACAGAUUUUUAAACUGCUUUAUUGAGAUAUAAUCCACGUACCCUACAAUUCACACAAUUAAAGGAUACAAUUCAGUGGUUUUUAGUACAAUCACAGAGUUGUGCAACUGUCACCACAACUUAAUUUUAGAACAUUUUCAUCACCUUCAAAAGAAAUGCCAUACCCAAUAGCCAUUACCACCACAUCUCCCAUUUACGCAAGCCCUAGGCAAUCAAUAAUCUACUUUCUGUCUCUAUAGAUUUUUCCUCAUUCUGGACAUUUCACAUAAAUGGAAUUAUAUAGUAUGUAGUGGCUUGUUACUGGCUUCUUUCACUCAGCAUACCGUUUUUAAGGUUUGUCUGUGUUGUAGCAUGUAAGAGAGGUAGUUCACUGUUUUUUAUUGCCAAAAAAUUUCCAUUGUAUAGAUAUAUCACAUUUUGUUUAUCCAUUCAUCAGUUGAUGGGCAUUUGGGUUAUUUCCUCUUUUUGGCUAUUAUGAACAUUGAUGUACAAGUGUUUUUGUGAACAUAUAUUUUUAUGUGUCUUGAAUCUAUACCUAGGAGUGAAAUUGCGGGUCAUAUGGUAAUUGUAUAUUUAACCAGUUAAGAAUUGAGAGAAAACAGGCAACAGUGAGAACUUUUCAGAAGAAAAUGUUAAGGACAGUAAAAGGAGAUCGUGUUUGGGACUGAAAGGGGCUAACCCUAGCCAGUCUGCAUAAUCUGGAUAUCAAUGGUGGUAACAAAAAACAUUUCCUAGGUAGCCCUUAGAAAACAAAACUGCAAGUAAACUUUCUUUUAGUUAUAAUGUCCUAAGAUAUUUUUCUUAUCCAUACAGGGGGUUAGGUAGAUUUUCUAUUCUUGUAAAUUAUUUGUACAUGGCAGGUCUCAGAAGCACUUAGGAGGAAAUUGUAUCAAUUUCAUUGCCUACAGUCAUAUCUGAAUCUUGUAAAGCUGUGCUGUCCAACAUUAUGGCCACCAAUCAUGUGCUGCUUUUAAAAUUAAAAUAAAAUAAAAUUUAAAAUUCAAUUCCAA
rnacentral:lncRNA from 10 species